rnacentral:rRNA from 1 species
AGUGAACGCUGGCGGUAGGCCUAACACAUGCAAGUCGAACGGCAGCACAGAGGAGCUUGCUCCUUGGGUGGCGAGUGGCGGACGGGUGAGGAAUACAUCGGAAUCUACUCUGUCGUGGGGGAUAACGUAGGGAAACUUACGCUAAUACCGCAUACGACCUACGGGUGAAAGCAGGGGAUCUUCGGACCUUGCGCGAUUGAAUGAGCCGAUGUCGGAUUAGCUAGUUGGCGGGGUAAAGGCCCACCAAGGCGACGAUCCGUAGCUGAUCUGAGAGGAUGAUCAGCCACACUGGAACUGAGACACGGUCCAGACUCCUACGGGAGGCAGCAGUGGGGAAUAUUGGACAAUGGGCGCAAGCCUGAUCCAGCCAUACCGCGUGGGUGAAGAAGGCCUUCGGGUUGUAAAGCCCUUUUGUUGGGAAAGAAGUCCAUCUGGUUAAUACCCGGGUGGGAUGACGGUACCCAAAGAAUAAGCACCGGCUAACUUCGUGCCAGCCGCCGCGGUAA